UUCUUUGCUGUGUUCCUCUUUCUGUCCUGUUGUAUUUCAGAGCAUGCCUGGGAGAGCUGCUUUGGCUGGUGGGUGUUGCAAUAAAUAUUUAGAUCAGAUUGUGAUCCCAGUGGAGUCCUGACACCAAACUCACCUGGGGUGCUCUCUGCCUCAGUGGCCUCCCUCUCAGGUAUGAAUGCUGCAGGAAGCUUUGAAGGCGCAGCUGGGAGGACCCCCUCACGAGUGAGCUCUGCUGCCAGCAUCUGGGCAUCUCAUAAUAAUGAGGAGGAAGAUGUGGAGCUCAGCAAGCCAGGUGCCCUCCAAUCUGUAGUAGGAGAGAGCCCAAAAGCAGCUGCCAGAUACCUGGGCAGCUCCAGUUCCAACACGUCCAGUCACCUUGGCUUGAGCAGCGACCCGCUCAUGGUGAGCACAGACAGCUUGAGCCCUGGAGAAGCACAGUCCAGAGCCAACUCAGGGCACUGGUCUGCAACUCCAGCGGUUCAUGCGGACCCUGGGGGAGAAAAGGCAGCUGGAGCGAGCCCUUAUCCACCUCUGAGCUGGGCCAGCCCUUCUGUGGGCACUCACGAGGUCCAUGUGGAACAUCACCUCAGUGCCCUGCUGGCAGCAGGCAAUGAUGUCCGAGAUGGAGCAGUCCCCUUUGAAGACUCUCCUGAUUCAAACAAGGGAAGUAAUGCUGCAACCAGCUCAUCUCAGGCUGAAGUCCUCACAUCAGGGGACAGCUAUGGGCCGUCCCUGCUGUACAUCCUCCCAGCUGUUGGCAUUGCAUUGAUUUCAGUGUUUCUGGUGUACACACGAUUGCAGAAAUAGCAGUAGAGAGAAGAUGAGAUGCCACAGCUACCAAAGGGAGAUUCCUCUUCGUAGCAGGAAGUUGGCCAGCAUGUUUGAAGCCGGAAGAACAGUUAGAGGGACUGUAGGGGCUUUGUUAAAUCUCUUCCCAGAAAGUUUCCUGGAAGAGGCCUUGGUUGUGUGAUGCUGUUGGGUUUUGGUCUGAUUCCCAACCACCUUCCUGUCUGUGCUGCCUUCUUUUUCAUCCACAGUGAGGGUGUCUCUCAGGGGGUGAUCCCUCGAGGCCAAAAUUAGAGCCUUCCUGGCCAUUCUCAUCUUUGCAUUUGGUUCUGGAUGGCCCCUCUCCUGCCAAGAAAUGUUCCUGUGAUGAGGACGUGCCAGGAUGGACUGUGUGCAAGCUGUCCCCUGUCCCAGGAGCCCUCAUCCUGCUUCAGUGCUUUCCUUCGGAGUAUCGUGCCAUGCACCGAUGGAUCAGGAAUGGCACAGGACUUCUUCACACAGCACUGACACCCCUGGGGAUGAAGCAGUGGAGCCAGGAGGAGUUGUGUAUACCCUUGUGCAGUGUUCUCAUGGAUCAAUCUCACUUCUCCUUUCCCCCAGACAGGGGGAGAAAAGAUUUAAGCAUAUACAUUCAGAGGACAAUUUCAUGCAAUACCAGCAUGAGCCAGACUUGCUCUCACCUGGGAUUGCUAUGUGCCUUUUGAUCUACAGGCUGUAUUUAGUGAGCCUGGCUAGGAGGGUGGAUGUAAUUCUCACAUUUCCCAGUACCUGGUGCAGUGAGAUGAGAAACUUUUGUCGAGGUUGGGACAUAAAUAGGGUCAGCUCUGUGUGAUGCAGGGAGGCCAUACAUCUGGUUGUCCAGAUGCUCUGGGUUAUCUUGAGGAUUCUGUUUAAAAUUUCAGUCCAUAAUUUCCCAACUGCUCCCAGGGAUCACCUUGGGAGUUUGAGGGGAUUGGGCUGCAACACUUCCAGAUAAGAGAAAAUCCCAAACCCAAAUAAGCAUCCCUUGGUUCCCUCAGCCCAGGACAGCUUUUAGGGACAGCAGCGAUCCUACUCAGUUGCUGUUUGCCUACAUAUCCAGCUCCAGGCAGACUUGAACCAUCCCAAGCUGUGCUGCCUGUUUCCUUUGUUGCUAUGGCUGUGGGUUGUUCACCAUCACUCACCUACUCCCUCCCAAAAGGACAGAGGCACAAAAGUAAGCAAGUGGGUUAUUUUAGUUAGAGAUAUAUAUAUUUUUUUUAAGCUCUAAAUGCACCAGCAUGGACUUUUAGGUUGCCCUGCAAUCCUGCAAUCUGCAGGAAAUGAAAGCCAUGGCAGGAGGCAGAGCUGAGCAAAAAGUAUGGAGAUCUGGAGACAGAUUUGCACAGCAGAAGGCUUAUAUCAUGGAUAUAAUGGCUUAAUCUGACUAACUGGCCAGAGUGCUAUGGGCUUUAAACCACUGCAGCGGCUGAGCUGCAAUCCUGAUCCAGAAAGCUGCUGCUUUCCUUGAUUUGGUAAUUUCUUCUUCUUGGAUCCCUGCUGUUCAGCACAGUUUCCCAAAACCUGUCCCUACUGCUGAGCUCCCUGGGAUUGGCUGCAGGGUAUGGCUGUUGUGCCCAGAGCUCAGCAUGGACCAUUCAUGGUGCAGAGGGUCAGUGAGCCCAGUGUUGGGACAAAGGGCUGCUCCUCUUCCAGGUCUGCUCCAGGAGCACUUCUCUGUUGGCUCUGUGUCCAGAAUUGAGGUGUCCUGAGGCUUUUCUAGAUGGAAUAGUAUCCUUGGGGUGCUGGAUGUGAGCUGCUCUGACCACAGUAUUUGCAUGAGUUGGGUUCAUACAGAUUCCAAAGGAAAUGCGUUUUGGAAGGCACCUCUCCACCUCUUUUCAGUCCCAUAUCCCCAGGUUGUUGAGCCACGUGCUGGUUUUCCCAGAGCUCUGCCUUAUUUUUGGUUGAUUGCCUUAGCACCCCAUUAGCCUGGAGGAGUCGUAACACAGAGCCUCUUCUGACUUGGGUAAAUGGUCUCCAAAUUACAAAUGGUUGUGUCACAGCACAGCAGGCUGGGGGACUUCUGCUUCGGUUUGGUAGGGCUGACAGCUGCUAGCACUUUUCCCUUUGCCCCAAAAUGCACAAAGUGCCUCCCUUAUAAAUGGACAAGGGCAAUAAAUACAUGCAAGAGUGAGGUGGUUGAAUUGGCUCUGACAGGACCCAAGAGUGAACUCGAGAUGUUCACUUCUUGCUCAGUGCCCAACAUUUUAUCCAUCCGUGGAUGAGAGAGGGCGUUUUAAAUGCACUUUCUAUCCUCUUCUCAGAGAUGGGACACAGGCUGUUCUCGCCAUGAGAAAGAGGGGGCAUACAUCUUCUCCUGCUGCUUUCUGUGCCGUUUUUGAGGGUGUUUGGUGAUCUCAAGCCAGCAGCAUCCAUACCAAGGCUCUCUUCUCUGUCUGCAGAUUUCUUCAUGUAUUUUCCCAGUGCUUUUUAGCUCAUACUCCCUAUGAAAACACACCUGAUUUAUUAACACAUAAAGCAUUUGUUUUUCUUGGUGUUUGCUGUGAAGUGCCUCUAUUUUCCUAGCUGUCAUGUAGCACUUUAAAGACAGGAAUCAGCAAAAAGGAUACUUAUGAUGGAAGAUGUAAUAAAACUGUUUGCCACUCUACGAAA